GGAGGGAUGCUCGAGGGGUCGAAGAGGGCGGCUUGCUAAGCCGUAGCCGGGCUGUUGAGGCUCGGCCGUGGGUUCGAAUCCCACUCCCUCCGCCA
rnacentral:tRNA from 1 species